rnacentral:rRNA from 1 species
GAUGAACGCUGGCGGCGUGCUUAACACAUGCAAGUCGAACGGACAUAUCUUUCGGGGGUAUGUUAGUGGCAGACGGGUGCGUAACACGUGGGUGACCUGCCUCGAAGUGGGGAAUAACUAUCCUAACGGAUGGCUAAUACCGCAUGUGCUCGGAGAUUCGGUUCUCCGCGUAAAGGCGUAAGUCGCUUCGAGAUGGGCCUGCGGCGGAUUAGCUAGUUGGUGGGGUAACGGCCUACCAAGGCGAUGAUCCGUAGGGGGCGUGAGAGCGUGGCCCCCCCACACUGGCACUGAGACACGGGCCAGACUCCUACGGGAGGCAGCAGUGAGGAAUAUUGCACAAUGGGCGAAAGCCUGAUGCAGCAACGCCGCGUGAGGGACGAAGGCCUUCGGGUCGUAAACCUCUUUUCUGGGGAAAGAGCAAGGACGGUACCUCAGGAAUAAGUCUCGGCUAACUACGUG